rnacentral:lncRNA from 1 species
AAGCAAUCAAAAAAGCUUUUCACUCCACAUUUGAGUUCAUACGUGUUCUUGCUUCCAAGCUUCCAAAGUUCUCAAGUGUUCUAGCUUUCCAAAAGCUUCAAAAGUUCUCCAACUUCUUCUUCUAAUCUUCUUGUUCAUCUUUACAAGUAAGAAGUGUUGUUUGCUUAAUAUUUCACUCCUUUAAUCAUCUCUUGUGUGUAUCCACUUUUUGGUUGAGAGGUUUUGUCUCAAUAUCACCAAAGUGUGAGAGAAGGUUUUUGAGCUAAAUCAAAACGCUUUAAGUUUGGUUUUAUAGAGUUUUUGGCAAAACUCUUAGGUCGAAUCUACUUUGAAAGAUUUUUAGGUUUUUAAGAGUUUCUUGAUACUCUAAAGUGUUAACCUACUCGUAAAGGUUAAGAGGUUUUUAAGAGUUCCAUAAUAUUCUAAGGUGUGAGUCUACCCGUAAAAGACUGGUUUCUAAGCGAAGUUAGCCUUAAAGCUUAGAGAGGUUUUUAAGAGUUUCUUUGAUACUCUAAGGUUUUGUCAUUAGGCUAGUAAACUCCGAUAGUUGUCGGGACUAGAUUAGUUCUUGUUUGGGUGAACCAGUAUAAAUUCUCUUAUGUUGUUCUUUGUUAACUUUAGUAUUUAUCUUUUAUCUAAAACAACUAAACAACACUUAAUUGAAAAAGAUCCCUCUUUCAGUUAUCUAAUUAAGUAUAGAGGUUGACUACUUUUGGCAGAUCCCUCGUAUAGUUAUCUGGUCAAUUAUCUGAGGUUAUAUAUUCAUUGUUUUAAAUCUUUAUUCAGAUAUUUGUUUAAACAUUUACUUAUCAAAUAUAUAUCCAGUUAUCUGGUCAUUAAUUUACUCUAUAAUAUAACUUAGUAUUCAUAUACUUGCCUUUUCUCUCAAAGUUUACUACAGUAUUCAGGCAAGUUUCAUAUAAUAUUAUACUUUUUAAAAUCAUAUAAUAGUAUUAUAUUGCUAACAAUAUUAUACUAUUAUUAUUAUUCAACUAUUUGUGUAUUAAGUGUUUACAGGUAAUUUCAUUAUUAACUUGUACAAAUCGAAAAGAGUCUAUUAUCCCCCCUUAUAGCUUCGGAUCACGAUCCAACAGAAAGAAGGUUAAAUUAUAUCCAAAUUUCUUUCUUUUAAUAUAGGAAAAAAUUCAGACUGUAUGGUUACUCUGCAUAUUCUGAUACUACUAAUGAGUUUGUGCGUGUUCUGAUAUUCUGCAUAUUCUGAUAGUUUGUGAUCUGUUUAGUAUGUUUGGGUAUGUUCUGUUUAGUAUGUUUAAGUCUGGAUCUGCUAAAUAUAUGGUUGUAGUAGUGGUACAUACUCUAUUGUAGGUAGUCAAUGAGGAGGUACUGAGGCAAAAACUAGACUAAGGAUCAUAAAUCAUAACUAUUGGGAUUAGUUGAUAUAAUGGUAGGGUUUUUCCCCGGAGAAAGACCGCAAAAAAAUUAAAAGAUGCCAAAGAGCACACCUGGUAUUUUUUCACCCCCCCCCCAUCAUGUCAGGUAAUUCGUAGUAUAAAAGACUGAAGAUUUCAUAAACAAAGCUUGACAAAAAAGAUGAUGUUUGAUGAUGGAGUUUUUGCUGGCAAAUCAAUAUCACAUAUUUGUGGUUUGGUUUGUGGGGGAAUUAAGCAGCUCAAAAAAAGAUAAAGCAAUGAUGUAAUUAGAAGACUGUAAAGACUACUAAUUGUAGUCUGGUUUAUAUCUAGAAAUAUAAAGUCUGUAAUAAACAAAAUCUAUAAUAAACAAAGUCUGUAUCUAGAAUUAGUAUAUGUGACAAAGGAGAUCGCCUGAGGUCGACGAUCACCGAUCCUGUGUCCGAACAGACUCUCCGAGAUGGAGCCAGGGGUUCUGAGAAGAAGAAUUUCCACGGAGGGAACCGGAGGUUUUACAAGAUGGAUUAGUUGAACUUUUCAAUAUCUAUUCCUGCUAUAUUUAGUUCUAUAUAUAGUCGUGAUUACAUGUCGUUAUUGUUACAUUUCCUAAUGCUUAACAGAUUGAUCAAGUAACUGAUUCUAAUUAUUCGUAACUGUAUUCCAGUAGGCGGGUAGAACGUGUUGUGCGUUGUGAUCGGAUGUCGUCAGGCUUACUAGGACUGCCCGAUGCUUCCGCCUCCUUGUCAAACCGAUUGUCCAGCUUCAAGUCCUUCUGCAAUUGGGUCACGCAUUCCUUGGGGUUCAGUGGGAUUGUUACAGUAUAUAGGGGAAUGUAGAUUAUAUAUAAUAUAUAUAGGGGCCGGGGUAUGUUAUAAUUAUUACAAUAGUUAAAUAAUAUAUAUACAACUAUAACAGUUUGUAAAC